GUUUUACUCUGUCCUAUAGGGUCGAUAUGAGUUGGAAUUGACUAGAUGGCAAUGGGAUAUAUAUCUCAAGUUCUUAUAAUCAUGAUUUCUGAAUAGUUCAUCUUUAAGAUAUUCAGAGUUUAUCUAUGCCCUGUCAUCUCUGUAACAGAUAGGUCUCGAUUUUUUCUGCCUUUUGACCAGUAUUCUUCUCAUUUACUUAUAGAAUCAAGAAUUAUUUUUUAAAAAGAGUUAUUAAUAGAUUUUCUAUGUGUGUUUUAGUCUACUAAAGAACAUGCUGUUAAUAGGCAUUUUUAAGCUAGUUUAACAUUUUCCAACAAUGAUCUCUUAAACCAAAUGAUGAUUUCUUCCUAACACCCCCUUCUCCUAUCACAAACCUAUACUUAAUUUCCUUUGCAUGUUUUUGAAAUCAGAAGAGUACUGAGUGGUUGUUACAUUUCAGCAGUACUUGCUGCAUUCUGAAAAAUAAAUUGGCAGGUAUUGCAGGUAACAAAAGUGAGGCUCCGAGAAGCCCGAGUUGCACAAGCGCGUGCAGUGUGGGCGUGAGUACUUCCAUCAGGAUUCUGUUGUUUUCUGGUGAGGUUCCAGAUGCAGUCUGAGAGAGAACUGUUUGUCUCCUCCUUAACAUUAUUGAGCUUAAUGACGUUUUGAUCAGGUUUACAAACAGUAAUCCUAACACUCAUUUCUCUUAGUAGGCAAGUUAGAUUUUAAAAAAUAAAUAAAUUGAAUUUGGGAAAGAAGUGGGGAGUCAUUCAGCAUCACAAAUUGCCAUUUAUCUAGGUAAUACUAUUUUACUUUUUAUUUCUGCAUCUGUUUGGUCAUGUAAAUGUGCUUAGAACUAAUAAAAAUAUGCAGUUGGUGAAAAUUAAUGCAUGACUCAUCAGCAGAAUAUGGAAUGUAAGCAUGUGCCAUGGAAUUGCAAUUCUUUUAUCCUUUAUUUUCCAUCAUUUACACACUCGUUCCAUUUAGAGUAUAGUCCAUUCUUAUGUUUUGUUUCCCAGAUUGGCCAAAAUGGGAAGGAUUGGAUUCUGCUCUCUUCCACAAAGAGUCAAUGGGACUGGCUAAGAUCAAAGUCUGAGACAUUUUCCACCUGCCAUCCGUCCCUUUUUGCUUUCUUUUACGACCACAUGAAACUUGAGAAGCCACCUAAAGCUAAAUCAUUUAGUGGAGUUGGGCAGUUCCCAAGUGUCCAACAAGAAGGCCUGGUUUAGGCUGCGAUGGCCACUGUCAUUCCUGGUGACUUGUCAGAAGUGAGAGAUACCCAGAAAGUCCCUUCAGGGAAACGUAAGCGUGGUGAAACCAAACCAAGAAAAAACUUUCCUUGCCAACUGUGUGACAAGGCCUUUAACAGUGUUGAGAAAUUAAAGGUUCACUCCUACUCUCACACAGGAGAGAGGCCCUACAAGUGCAUACAACAAGACUGCACCAAGGCCUUUGUUUCUAAGUACAAAUUACAAAGGCACAUGGCUACUCAUUCUCCUGAAAAAACGCACAAGUGUAAUUAUUGUGAGAAAAUGUUUCACCGAAAAGAUCAUCUGAAGAAUCACCUACAUACACACGACCCUAACAAAGAGACAUUUAAGUGUGAAGAAUGUGGCAAGAACUAUAAUACCAAGCUGGGGUUUAAGCGUCACUUGGCCUUGCAUGCUGCAACGAGUGGUGACCUCACCUGCAAGGUGUGUUUGCAGACUUUUGAAAGUACAGGAGUGCUUCUGGAGCACCUUAAGUCUCAUGCGGGCAAGUCGUCCGGAGGGGUUAAAGAAAAGAAGCACCAGUGCGAGCAUUGUGACCGCCGGUUCUACACCCGAAAGGAUGUCCGCCGGCACAUGGUAGUGCACACUGGAAGAAAGGACUUCCUCUGUCAGUACUGUGCACAGAGAUUUGGACGGAAGGACCACCUGACUCGACAUAUGAAAAAGAGUCACAAUCAAGAACUUCUGAAAGUCAAAACAGAACCCGUGGAUUUUCUCGAUCCAUUCACCUGCAAUGUUUCUGUGCCUAUAAAAGAUGAGCUACUUCCAGUGAUGUCCUUACCUUCCAGCGAACUGUUAUCAAAGCCAUUCACAAACACUUUGCAGUUAAACCUCUACAACACUCCGUUUCAGUCCAUGCAGAAUUCGGGAUCUGCCCACCAAAUGAUCACAACUUUACCUUUGGGAAUGACAUGCCCAAUAGACAUGGAUGCUGUUCAUCCUUCUCAUCACCUUUCUUUCAAAUAUCCCUUCAGUUCUACCUCAUACGCAAUUUCUAUUCCUGAAAAAGAACAGCCAUUAAAGGGGGAAAUUGAGAGUUACCUGAUGGAGUUACAAGGCGGCGUGCCCUCUUCGUCCCAGGAUUCCCAAGCAUCGUCAUCUAAACUUGGAUUAGAUCCUCAAAUCGGACCCCUAGAUGAUGGCGCAGGGGAGCUCUCCCUGUCAAAAAGCUCCAUUUCUAUUGGUGAUCCCCUCAACACGCCAGCGUUGGAUUUUUCUCAGUUGUUUAAUUUCAUACCAUUAAAUGGUCCGCCCUAUAAUCCUAUAUCAGUGGGGAGCCUUGGAAUGAGUUAUUCCCAGGAAGAAGCACAUUCUUCUGUGUCUCAGCUGCCCCCACAGACACAGGAUCUGCAGGAUCCGGCCAGCACUAUAGGUCUUGGAUCUCUGCACUCUCUGUCUGCAGCCUUCACCAGUAGCUUAAGCACAAGCACCACCCUGCCACGUUUCCAUCAGGCUUUCCAGUAGGAUCCCAGACGUGGAUUUAUCACAAAAGUGGCCAAUAAUCACUGCAGAUUGAGAUGUUUACCAAGAAUUUCUAAAAAUGAGUUUACGUGUCUCAAAACACACUGUCUUCCAAGUACGUAAGUUAAAAUAUACCAGUUCACCCAAGUUGCUUCUAGCCUACUGAGAUCCAUAUGAAGUUGGAGGAGAUCUUUUAAAUGCUGAAUAUUCAUCAUUAGCAAUGGCACACUGCUGUCUCUGACAGGUGAGUGCCUAAAGCUGAAUUUGUCUUGUUUUUCUCUCACUGUCAGCAGCAUGCCUGCAACACAGAUAAUCUUACAUAGAUCUACAUAAAAUUGUGUUGUGUAGUUUUGCACUACACAUGUGAUCCAUACAGAGCUCUUUUUUGAUCAUAUGAAACAAGAUACUACUACCUACAUUGGUAAAGGCACACUUAGCUCACCCUUCGGCCCUUCAACAACAUUAUCAACUCUCAGAGGAUGGAAGGCAGUGUCUUGAUAAGUUACCUAGCUCUAGAAAUGACACAGAACUAUUGCUAAUGUAUAAAACACUUUGUCGUAUAAGCUUCAGUGGUACAGAUGAACCAGAAUGAAUGUUUAUCUUCUCAGAAACACUCCUUCUAUAUUAUGUUGCAUUGUGCUGCUAAUGUAACUUGGGAUACAACUCUUCAUGGUGCUACAAACUUCUCUGUCUUGUAUGGUUGUAUUUUUUUUUUUAAUCCACAGAAAAAGGACUACAUUAGGUGUAAAAGUGUACAAUAUAUUUUUAUACUGUGACUUAUUUUGUCAUUAACAAACUUGCACCACCACAAUGUAUUCAUGUGCACUUGCAAAAGGAAAUCUUGGACAUGCAAAUUUACCAGAACAAACCCAGCUUUUGUCCACAAGGUGACUGAACUGAAAGUGAAAAACGGGCUCUAUGAUCUGGUGUGGAGUGAAGAACAUGCUGUAUGUCACUAAUAGCCCUUUGAAUUUAAUAAAAACUGGGAGUCCAUCAGGAAACGGAUUGCAACAUGCCCGAGCAUAAGCUGGACUGCUGAAAUUGUAUUUUUAGCUAAUGAAAAAGCGUUUGGACUAGUACUCUAAAAAUGUUCUAAUGAUAAAGUUUUGAGUCAAAAUAGAAAAGAAAAAAAAAAGUGCAUUCCAGGCUGAAUUUUGUAUAUUUUUAUUGCAUUUAAAAUAGCUAUUCUGUGAUAUUGGGAAAUCAAGUGGCUUAUCAUGUAUAUCAUGUACUUAAAAUGUAUUCACAAACUACUGUUGUAUUUGUAUAAAAUAUAGACAAAGAUCAUAUUUUUUUGUGUGUAUAAGCUCUGUAAAAUAGCAAUCACAUUAUGAAGCUGCAGUGAUACUACAUACAUUUUAACCAUUCACAUCCCAAAAGAGCAGGCUAUUUAUUGUCCAGAUACCCAGAUAUAAAAUAUUAAUUUGCUGCUAAUUAAACAAGAGUACUGCAGCUUCUUGUGGCCUACAGUGUUAUAUUUGCUGUAAGAAAAAAAAUAUGUGAAUUCCACAAAAUAUAUGAAUAAAAUUAUAGAAUGGCUUAGAUAAUGUAGAUCUUCCUGAAAUUUUAAUAGAUGAUAAUUUUCUAUUUGGGAUAACAUUUCUUCUU